AAUUUCAAGUGGCCUAGGUUGAGAAAUGCUGAUGUAGACUGUAGACUGAACACCCUGCUAACUAGACCCCUUUUCUCAUCUUUGCUGGAUGCAGAGGCCAAGUUAAAAGAAGAGGAAGAAGAAAACCUUUUCAGGAAGACAAUGAUGGACAAAUACGGCACCCUUGAGCUGACUGACCGAGAAUGGCAGCAUCUCUAUAGUUACUUCCAGUUGAUGACGGCUAUUGAGAACAACCAACAGCAGUUCCAGUCACAGGCUUCCACCACUGACAAGAUCUUGGACACUUUUUUUGAGACAUCCAAAGAGGACUUCUUUCCCUAAGGAAACACAGAGAGAGAGAGAUCCACGGUUCAUGGUGGAAUUUUUUUUUUACACUACCAGCAACUGCUGCAGUUAAAAAGUUGGCAGAGCUGCUUAUUUUGAUGACCUUACAGUAAAUACAACAUUGUGUUAAUUAAAUCAAGUUGCAACUCUCAGCAUAUCGCAGUUUCAACCUCGCUGUCCUUGCUGGGUUUGGAUAUAUACCAGCUCCAAAAUUUGUUUCAGAGGCUAGAGCUGCUGUGCAUUGGAACUUCAGGCCAUGGUUUUAUUUCACUAUUUUCUACAUUGCUUCCAGUGAGCGAUUUUUCAGCUUUCAGACAGAGGAAUAUCUUUCCCAUCAAUUGUUAGCAGAAGACUUUGAACUUAAGCAAGCUUGGACUGAAUCUAAACAUUUUUGCAUAAACUGUAGACAUGCAACUUUCACCGAUCUAUGGAACCUCUCCAAAUGUGAAAAUAAUAAAAACAGAUAGUUACAAA